GAUUAUUUUUCCGUGACCUAGCUUUUCCCUUCUCCUUCCUCGCGUGCGACGGCGGCGUUUCUGCUCGGGCGGAAACGAAGCCGAGCUAGGGCUUUGUUUUCUGGCGGCCGGCCAAGGUUUUCCGAGGGAUUUUCUCCACGCCAUCACUAUUCCUCGUUAAGAAGGAGCUGUUGGCAUGAAAAAGGGUCGGAGAUUUCAAGUUAUCCGAACCCUAGAAGCACUAGAAGGUUUCUCCUUCGGCUGUGAGUCAAGGAAACAAAGAUACAGGAAAGGAAAAUAUUUAGCAAAGGAAGGCGACAAGGAGGUGUUCGAUGAUGUGUGAUGCCAGGACUAUGGGAGAGACUUGGGAUGUUAUUGAGUUUUCCGCAUUUUAGUGAUUAAGAAACAUUUGAAGUUGUACUUUAAGAUUCAUGUUAUUUGAGAUUAUUGUUGUUCUAGGUUGCAUGCUAAGAUGUACUUAGUUUAGUAUGUAUGUACUUUUGGGUUAUUUUUGAUGUGAGUAGUGUUUGAUACUUAUUUAA